AGAGAUGUGUGAUGACGCAUAUCAAUAAGCGGAGGAAAAGAAACUAACAAGGAUUCCCUUAGUAACGGCGAGUGAAGCGGGAAGAGCUCAAAUUUGAAAUCUUCAAGGUUCUACCUCGACGAAUUGUAGUUUAUAGAAGUGUUUUCUGUUAGUAGAGGUGGCAAAAGUUCUUUGGAAUAGGACAUCAUAGAGGGUGAGAAUCCCGUAUUUGGUCAUUCUUUCUAGCUUUGUGAUACACUUUCAACGAGUCGGAUUGUUUGGGAAUGCAGUCCAAAAUGGGUGGUAAAUUUCAUCUAAAGCUAAAUAUUGGCGAGAGACCGAUAGCGAACAAGUACCGUGAGGGAAAGAUGAAAAGAACUUUGAAAAGAGAGUUAAACAGUACGUGAAAUUGUCAAAAGGGAAGCGUUUGACACCAGUGUUGUUCUUCCGAAAAUCAAUUACGAAUGUUUUGUUUUUGAGAAGUUAUGACUUCAUCGGCUUGCUUCUCUCUUUACGAAACUUUCUUAAUGCACUUUUCGGUUAACAAGUCAACAUCAAUUUCUUUUGUUGUAAAAGGGUAUGAGGAAGGUGGCUUUCUUUUCGGAGAAAGUGUUUAUAGCCUUGUACCUCUGCAAUCGGAGAGAUUGAGGUCUGCAGCGUAGAUCCUUCGGGGUUAGAUACAUUUGUGCUAAGUUAUAGCUUUUCAUAGACAACUUGUUGACUAUGUUAAGUCUCUGUAGCUUACUCGCUUAUGCUAUUUUACCUACGCUUAGGAUGUUGAAGUCAUCGUAUCGCGC
rnacentral:rRNA from 1 species